rnacentral:misc_RNA from 1 species
AAAAAAAAAAAAAAAAGAAUCCCAUCCUUCACACACCUGCCCUGACCCUUUAACCCAUAGAUCCAUAAUCAAGGAACCACAACAUUACGGAACAACUACUGGUGGUUUUUGGUUAAAGUGGGCAAGAUCACAUUGUUGCUGAUUAGAAUUGCCCAUUACUUCUAGCUCUGACACCAAAUCAUUGUGGUCCCUUGAUCUUGGUUACAGGUCUAUGGGUUAAAGUGUCAAGACUCAGCACAAAUGUAUGAAGGAUGGAAAUGGUUUUUAUUCUUUUGACGUACGGUUGUAAGCACAUAGUCUUAUUAGAGAGAACCUGUAAACCUCAAGUUAAGUACUCGAAGAGUUUUAGAAUUUUUAUCAUACUGAUUUUAUUAAUUUGCUGCAAAUAAAUACAAAUGGAGAGAUGAUCACUUGCUACAUAACUAGAACCACAAACAAACAUGGAAGAACAUCCUCCUACAACUAAGGAAAGCAAUUAACUAAUUAAAACACUAAUAACUGACAUCCAAUAUAUACAUCAUGGACUCAUAUCAUGGAAGCACCCAAAACAUGGACACACAACAUGAAAGCACUAGCUGUCACAUGGAGGAACAACAUGGAAACACCAGCUAUUUGACCCGGUCUUGUUCACAUUGAAGGUUUCUCUUUAUACCACAUGUGAAGCGCCUGUAAACUUUCCGAGGCCUGCUAACAAUUAGACACUAGUAUAACCACAGGUUACAUAUUAUCAUAAUUAACUGAAACCAUAAGUCAUAUAACAAUCAUAGCAGUCAAAUUGUUGGCCCCUACUAUUAUAUGUCAGCAGCCAUUUCUACAACAAUUUAGCAAUCCUAUUUUCCUUGGACCUAAGUACAGGUAUCUAGUAUGAGCAGGUAUCAGUGUGAGCUUGUAUCUAGGUGCUUGAUCUGUCCCAAGUCUAGGACCAAAAUCCUCGAAACAAAAUGGGUCCCAAAAUUGGAUAAAAGUACCAGAAAGCAUAAUAUAACUAGCAUUGCUAUGUGCAAGCAAAAUAAUGCUAUGUGCAAGCAAAUAAAAAUGAAGUGCAUGGGAAACAUAUAAUUUUUAGAAGGUGGUUAGGAUGAAGAAUCAGUUUUGGGGAGAUUUAAGGGUGCAAACAAGGCUCAAGUGGGGGAAUGAGAGGGAGAAUUGCAAAGAACAUGGUUAUAAAUAUGCCAAAUGGCAUAGUUUUGAACAAGGAGAAAUAUCAAGCAAAAUUUGGAACCUUACCCGCAUAAAUCCAGGCAAAAAGAAACCAAAAAAGAAAGCGACAAAACCAAUUGAUCAAACAGAUAAAAAUAACCUAAUGUGAGAGUCAAUAAUGACGCUUGCACUAGGUUCCUAAAAGCGAAAAAUGAAAUGCUCCUAAUAAGAAAACUAAAAAUCCUAAAUAACUAAUUUCCAAAUUUCUUUCCAAAUGCUUUAAUCUUGUUUAUCUCCACAAGUUUCAAAAAAUAGUAAAUAAGCAAAGUCAAUUGUGGUAAGUUGAGGUGUCUAGCAAAGAGGCAUCUCUUCCUCUCUCACCUACCUUUUCAACUUCUUUUUCUGAUAAGUAGAACAGUUUCAACCUUCUUGAAGAAAAAAGUAGUAUGCUAAUGCCACAAACGUUCUUUGUGGAAAAAAGUUGGGCUUCCCCUAUGCCACACUAGCUACUGAAUCCCUACCCAUGUUGCAUCCUGUGUCAAGACUUGGACUCCAAGGGAAUAAUGUCUACUAAGUCCAAGCAACAGAGGGACCAUCCAACGCAAUGCAAUGCUCAACCAUAAAAAUAUGUAUAAUUAUAGAUUCUUUUGAUACAUCGAACACUGCAAUUACUCAUUGUAAAAUUUCAAUAGUACAAAUAUGAAGUAACCAAUAAGUAAUAACACUCGUUUUAUGAGUCGAAUUCCUUCCAUUUGUUUAGAGAUAAUUGAUUGUUAGCAUCAUAUGCUAAGCCACUAAACCUUUGAGCUUUACUACCUACCAUUAAUUCUUAAAGAAACUAGAAAAAAGUUGUGGCAAUACAGCAAUACCAUUAAUGAUAAGCAACUUUGAUGACCAACGAUGCUUGGGAGUCAAUUUACAGCGAGCAUCACAAAAAUGGGUACAAACUCCAUUCUGGCUAAUCAUUUUCCUGCUUGCUAUUGUGUAGUUCCACCCUCCACAAUAAUAAAGACUACAUAUCAUAAUAACCUAGACAGAUGUUCCAAAUGAAAGUUGUAAAGUAACAAUUGACAUCUAUCAGAAACAUAAAUUUAUUGCAAUAAGAAUUGUUAAAGAGUUUAGGCAGCCAAAUAACUCUUGUUAUUAUUCAUGAAUGACUGAUGUUCAUUAGACACUCCAAUUAUUGUUUUCCUACCUCAAAUCAUAUCUAUAACAAGAAAACAAUAGAUCUGCACUUUAACACUUGGAAAUCAUUCAAUCAUAGAGUCAGACUGAUUAAAACCACUAACCUCUAUUUUGGAGAAGUUCUUCAUGCUCACAACUGUUCAGAUUCCAUGGAGAAACCACCACAAAAAACAUUAAAGAUAUGUCCAUAAUAACAGAGAGUGAGCAAGUCACAUGAUAUAUGAAUACAUAAAUGUAAAAGAAAACCAUUAUUCGUGAAGAGAAGCUGAAACCCUCUGUUCAAUCCAGAAUCAAGGAGCCGUAAUAAAGAGGUAAAUAACUUUAUAAAAGAAAUAUAUAAUUUUAUAGAAGAAAAGUCAAAUGCACUAAAGUAGUUAUAUGGCAUUAAAGAUAAGAAAAGUCCAUACAUCAUGGUCCAGGAAUUAGCUUAGCAUUUGAGGUUCUAUUCAAACACCAGAGAAAGAAAAUGCUACAUAGAGAUUUAUACUUCUAACAGAAUGAACCUCAACACAAACUUCCCACCCAUCUAGAAGGCCACUACCUCAAAUACCCCCAACCCAAAGCGGCCCAAAAAAAGGAAAAAAACCAUGAAACUACUUACUACAUUUGUUAUGCCAAAGCAAGGAAAAAGAGAGAGUAUAUUUCAGUUCUUCCUUACUUCCCCCUUGAUCAACAAAAUAUAAAAUCACAAACAAAAAUAAAACCAAACUACAUCUACAUAGAGUGCCAAAUAUCCAGUGUGCAAAGAGACAAGUGAAAUGUUCUAUUUUUUCAGAGAAGAGACUUACAUUAAC